rnacentral:misc_RNA from 1 species
AUAUACUGAAAACGUUUCAUUUUCAGAAGCUUCAAGUGUAAAGCACUCUUACACGUGGCUCUUAAUCCCAAAGUGAUUUAUUUUAGUUGGAGGAGUGGCGGCCGUUUCGUCCGCAGUUAAAACAGAAUAGCAGCAGAUGGUGAAUGUUAUUUGCGUGUUACUUUGCACCUGUUUUCCGGAAGACCUUCUCCACAGUGGGACAUUGGUCGUCAAAAUAGAAACUUUGAUCGCAUUCUAAAUGAGGUGUCUGGUCACAAUUCCACAGCACUUGCCCCUAUACUUGGAUACAGCGGGUUUACGGUUGAGGAAUUUCGUGAUGGUGUGUUGAGACGAAGUUUGGAUGUUGGAAAAUGUACAAGACCUGAAUUUGAAUUGCUGUUAUUGGAAACUGUGGAAGAUAUGUCACCUGUAGGAGCAAGUCAGCCACUUGGGAAUUCUACUUUGCAAUUUGUUAGGGAACCAAUACAGUCUUGUAUUAGAAAUUAAAAAAAUAAUCGGACACGUCAAAUAUAUACGACAAAGCUACCUUCUACGAAUUUAUGGUUCACUCUAAAAAAUUAUGGUUCAGUAUAAAAUAGUUUCAUUAUUCUGUUCACAGGUAAAUCAAACUUUUUAGAUUUUCUGUCUAAUUCUAAACCCCUCUCUGGUUGAACUUCUUAUCCGACCGGAGCAAGUUAAAAUUAGAGAAGUUCCUCCCAUUCCUCUCUCUAGAUUAUUUAUUGAUCUUUUAUGAAAUACAAGUUUUGAGGCAAGGAAGGUUAAAAGUGUCAAUAAGAGAAUUGUAUAACGGACUUACAGCUAAAAAAUAUAUUUAUCACUUGCUGAACAAGCUGAUAGACUGGUAUGCGAUAUUUUAAAAAUUAGUUUGCAAAUCAUUUAAAAUCAAAGAUGUUUGAAAGUUUGCUAUUAUCUUUUUGUUUUGUUAACCUUUAGCCUCCAAAAUUUCUGUAAUGAACUUGUCCAUCAUUCAAUUUGGGCAAUACUAUUUAUCAGUCGA